rnacentral:lncRNA from 1 species
UAAGCUCCGGUGCUUUCACUUACUUUUCAUCAACUUCGCGGACUUUUAUCUGUUUAGACCUUGCACUCUGUUCACCAUGCCUUUUUAGUGAUCUUAAAUGGGAAGUUCUUAAUACGUCAUGUGGUAGUGAUCACCGACCUGCCAUCAUAAAACACAUACCAUCAUACCCAACCUUAGCGGAAAGGCCUCGUCGGUAGAUUUUAGACCGUGCAGACUGGCCAUCCUUUACAAAAAACGCAAAUCUCGAAUAGGCUUUCGCGCCAGAAUUUUCCAUAAAUGAGCUUAACAAAAAGUUUGUAGAAGUCAUAAUCUCAGCGGCAGAGAAAGCAAUACCGCGAACUUUCGGGACUGUGCGUAAAAGGAUGAAGCCAUGGUGGACAGAUGAAUGCAUGAAAGCAAAAAAACAGCAAAACAAAGCCUGGGGACUUCUCUGAAGGUACCCUACAUACGAGAACCUCAACCUCAUCCACUUCAAAGAGGCGAAAGCCAAAGUGCGUUACAUUAGAAGGCAGGCGGAAAAGUGUUCCUGGCAAAAAUUCAUUAUAUCCAUUAAUAGCUCCAUCCC